rnacentral:rRNA from 1 species
UACGUAGGGGGCAAGCGUUGUCCGGAAUCAUUGGGCGUAAAGCGCGUGUAGGCGGUUCGGUAAGUCUGCUGUGAAAGUCCAGGGCUCAACCCUGGGAUGCCGGUGGAUACUGUCGGACUAGAGUACGGAAGAGGCGAGUGGAAUUCCCGGUGUAGCGGUGAAAUGCGUAGAUAUUGGGAGGAACACCAGUGGCGAAGGCGGCUCACUGGACCGGAACUGACGCUGAGGCGCGAAAGCGUGGGGAGCAAACAGG